rnacentral:tRNA from 1 species
GGGCUCUUAGAUCAGUGGUAGAUCGCUCGGUUGGCAAUCGGGAAGUCGUGGGUUCGAAUCCCACAGAGUCCA